GGAGCCGUAGUUCAGCUGGUUAGAACGCUGGCCUGUCACGCCAGAGGUCGCGAGUUCAAGUCUCGUCGGCUCCG
rnacentral:tRNA from 1 species